AUGCAUUAGGUUGGAGAACGACCCUGCACCUAAACCUGAUAAUAACCUAGUGCAAGACAGGCGACAUGGGAUGCUGAACAAAUCUUAGCGCACUAGAUUAAUCAAUAUAGUUUAUGCUCGGCGAUUAGAACUAUGAUUUAUAUGGUGACUAGAUGAGAUGAACUUGCCAGGCGUAAGAUGACUAGCAAGACGGGCAUGGUUAUAUGAAACAUGGAAGAUGUUUUGAUCGGUUUGAUUGUUCUAGGUUCAUUGAUUAUUUGGCAGCAUAUAAAGGUUGAAUGUUGAAUAGAGCAGAUCUAGGAUUGUGGAAUUUUGCACAUCUUGUGGUAUUUGACGGUAGGGUUAAUCAUCACGAUGGUGGCUACAAACUGUUCUCCAAUUUCACGAAGAAACCAUCGCAGAAGCAUACUUGAAUUUCCCGAAACCUCUUAUGCCAAAGUAACUAUUUGGUCAAUCAGUGACGGAUCCAGGAAUUCAAACUAUCAGGGACUUAACUUAAGAAAUACGAAAAUCAACAUAACUUGAGAAAAAUAAAGCUAUAUAUACUCUAAAAAGCAGCUAAUGAUCCAAAGUAGUUCCAGAUUCUCAACAACUAGAUGAUGUAAAAUGUUAGCAUUAGAGCCCUCAUUAGCAACUUCAUAUUCAGGACCAGUACCAUGUAAAAUGUUUGCAUCAUAUUCUUCAUUGGACACUUCAGGUUCAAUAACAUGAGAUUGUAUAAUGUUUGCAUCACAGACUUCAUUAGAUACAACAAUUGGUUGAGUACUGACUAGGGCAGUUCCAAAAUAACCAGCAAUUGGUUUUAUUUUCUUAAAGAUCCCCUAUAUUACAAGUUUACAACACCAUCUGGCAGUUGACCAUCAAAAUAAGCAAACUCGUUGUGGAAUAAAUUCAAUACAUGAAGAAGAAAUCAGACUCGUUGUGGAUUCAGCAAUUUUAAUCCACAGUAAUCAGACUCAUAUAGUCAUAUUGACUGCCAAAUUCAGUACUACUGUGGAUUAAAACCGAAUUUAGUUGGCAUAUCAUAUAGGUUAAAUUCAGUAGUGGAUUAAAUUCAGACCAUCAUAAUUAUAGUCCCCAAAAUUAUUGACCAGAAAGUGAAGGCCAUAUGAGAAGAAACGGAUUGGUACCUGCUCGUUGCGCUUGCUGCCUUUGCGAGCGGCGAACACCCAUUUGCCUUAGCUCGAUAAUGUCCGCCGCCACUGCCUCCCACGAAUUCUAAGCCCAGGGUUGCUUCUUGUUGUUCUUCCAUUCGCAGAUUCGCCUGGUUCUGGGCGAUCGGCGAGGGCGUGAGGACGAUGCGAAUCCAUGACGUCGAAACCGGUUAACCUUCCUUUGUGAACCAGGAGAGAAAAAGAUACUGACUUUGAUAACUAAACAUAGAAUAGAGUAGACAUGCAAAAUUUAUUUGUUACUGAAGGGAAAACCGUUCCAGUUGUUCUUGAAUAGCUUCCUUCAAAAGGAUUUUUGCUUGCUCGAUGAUUGUCUUGCUAGAAGAUAUAAUUUCUUGGAAUUGAGGUUCAAUAUCUUUUAGGUGUUUACGUAACUCAUCCAAAAAUUUAUUUACCUGUUCAACUCUUAUUCUUCCUGUUGUUCGGAAAGAUCAAACACACUAUGUUUCUAUUUCCUUAUUUCGUGAUGAUUCAUAUGCUUGCGACAAUAACGACAAUUUUUAAUUCUAAUUAUCCAGGUAUGGGGUUUAAUCAUGAAUCCAUUGAUUCUUCUUUUUAAUUAAAAUGUAUUACUUAAACCGCUUUUUAUUUGGAUAUGGGGGUGCACCACCCAUGUCUGUGUUCCCCAGGGAAGAGACCUCUUUCAAGAGGAUUCACGACAUGUCAAGUCCUGGUAAGGUUCUUCGCUUUGCAUCGUAUUAAACCACAUGCUCCACCGCUUGUGUGCGCCCUCGUCAAUUCCUUUGAAUUCCAUUCUUAUGAACGCACUCCCAGGCAGCAUACUUAAUGUGUUAGCUACAACAUUGCACGGUUCGAGUCGCACAACACCCACAAUCGCAAAUCCCGCUUUUUAUGGGUCCAAAGAUUCUUUCGCAAAACAAUCCAUCUUUUUAUGGUUUAUCGUUUUAUAAUGAAAAGUAGAUGACCUUGUGACUUCACCAAUGACUUCUCCAUUAGGUAGGUUUUUGUUAGCCCAAGAAUUUAUUUGUUGAGGGGAAACGAGUCCAAUUUAUGUGGAGGACAUGAUUUUUUUGGUCGGAACAAACAUUUCAGAUAAUGAAAUACACUCUACCUCUUCAUGUCUCUGCAUCUAAUAACAUUAUUCAUAUCACAGGUUGCUUUCCUUCUGAUCCUCUCAUUACCUUUGUUAUACAAUAUAUUUUUAUAAAGAGUUGAAAAAGGAACAACAUGGUUCGAUGAGACGGACGACAAUUUUUUGGGCGUCGCCUUUGUUGCUGCCUUUGCCGUUCCACGAGCAACAUACGGAGAAGAAAAGAAUCGCUAUGGAGUGAACUCGCUAUGGUACUUGCAUAUGGAAUCAUCAUGCAUCUUAUCCCGGCUCUCCUUGCAUUGGCUGCAACUCAACUGCAUCAAAGUUCAGAGCAGGGCAUGUUGUUUUUUUUCUUGGGUGUGCAAGAGCAUGCCUUUAUUACUUGUAGCACAUGUUUAUGGUAUCUAUAUAUGCAAGGAAAAUAAUUGUUCCAGUUUUAUUGGUGUGCAACUUGGCGUGCUGAGUGCCCGAGAUAGAGUAAUUGUGGUUUCUGAAGCUUAAUGUAUUUCAAUUAUUGCAUGUACCAUGACCACCAUCGUUGUCUUUUGCAGCAUCACCUCAUCCUUCCCCCGUCCGGUGCAAUUGUCGGACGAGUGUUCUUCUAAGCCCGGAGGGGCACAGUUCUUCCGAAAUAUGUAUAACCCCAAUCCAAAAUAAUUAAUCUCUUGAUGCUUCCAACCAAAACCCAUCCAACACUGCCUCUGUCUCAACAUUUGUCGGGGGCAUCUAUCAUGCGGCUCUUACUGCUCCAUGCAAGAUUUCUUUUCUUAGCUCCACCACCUCAUUGCCUUGAAAUUCCAGCAACCUCACUGACACCACAAGUGGAUAAAAGGAAGUAUUGUGUUCCACCCAUUUAAUAUGUUGAAAUUGACACCAGCACCCAUAAAUUAGUAGUUCCGCUAGAGUUUUGAUUCAGUAUGUUUUCAAAAUCUUCACAAGGAAUCAAAGACAAGCAUGGUUGUUCGGUGCGGCCGAGGAAAGGCUGAAGUCAUGAACAUUGACAUUUUGGUGAAAAUCUAGUAUCCAUAGAAAUAGCCCACACUAUAAAAUUUUAUCUUCUAUAGCCUGGGAUGACUAUUGUACUCUAAUCAAAUGUUGUGUGACCAGAUAAGCAAGAUUUUUGUCCAGGUGUCCAUGAGUACACGGCAUUCAUGAGAUCUAGUUAACAAAUUUUCUUUCUAGCAAAUGAGUCGUUUUCUUUUUGUCAAAUGAAAAUGACAAUAUCUAGCUUUGGUUUGUUUAAAGUUCAACAGAAAACUAUAAUAUAGCUUGGCUUACUACACUGAGAGGCUGGCACUUAUGAGAUGACCUUCUUUUUACACAAGAUAAACCACAUCAAAUUCUACAACCCAAAGCAGCAACAUCAAGCAAGCAAACAAUGAUGGUAAAAUUCCAUUUGUUUUGGAGAGUGGUUUUUCAGCUCCCGGGUGAUGAACAGUAAAAUCAAAAAAAUAUAGAAACAAAUCAAAAAAAUCUGAAACUUUGCAACAUCAAAGAUGAUCAAAUUUUGUAGGUUCUUGCAAGUUUUCAUACCAAAAUAAAGUUUUGAGGAGCUCUACACACGAAAAAGAUUUCAGUGUUUGAAGUUUUGAGCACUUUUACCACUGAAAUCUAAAAAUUCAUUUGUACAUCUUUAUCUACAUGAUAUUUUGGCAUGAAAACUUGCAAGAACCUACAAAGUUCGACCAUCUCUGAUGUUACAAAGUUUCAGAUUUCUUUUGAAUUUUUUUGAAUUUACUGUUCACACCUUUCUGCUUAUUUUGUUGUGUUUCGUGGGCUCUCUUUUUAGGUCAUGGUCUUUUCAGUUGGAGUCGUCCCUUAUAUAUACCUUGAAUAUUUCAAAUAGUUCAAAUAAUAAAUACAAUAUCCGGAGAAGUUAAGUACAAGCAGUUGAUCUCUGAUGUUGAACUUUCAACUAAGAAAGGAAGGAACUGUCCUUGCAAACAUAAAUUCAUUUGCUUCGUUCUCUACAAGUAUUAACUUUGCCUUAAUUUUAUUGCUUGUGUGUGUGUGUGUCGAGUCAUAGCACCAGAUACUAAAAAGUAGUUAUGCAUGACCGACUACAGAGAUUGUUGGUUCCUCUACUUUUUACUAUUCUAGAUCAUUCCUGUCCAGUCCAUCCAUCCUGACCAAACAUUUGCCAUUGUGAAUUUACAACUGUCCAAUAGAAAUAGGACCACCAUAUUCCAUUUAAUAAGAAUUGCAUUGCCCCAUUCACUCUCUUUUGUACUCACUUCUGUUACCCCUCUCUUGAAAUAUUAAUUAUUUCUCCUUUAUUUAUAAGCUAGUGUUCUUGUUGUGAGAUCACCUCGUGUAGUACAUCAGUUUUGGAGGAUCCAUGCCAGGACACGAUAUUGUUGGGUUCUCGUGCUCAACUCAUCAUACGCAAAACUGCAGACAUGCAUGGACAGUUUUGUGUUGGAUGGUUCUUUUUAUCUUUGCUAGAUCUUUGUUCAAGUAGUUAAUUCGGCAUGAGAGGUUUCAGAAAAGGCAAAUAUGCCAGAUGUCCAUGAAGUACUUGCAGACAUGCAUGAUGCAUGCACAGUUUAUGUUGAAUGAUUCUUUUGUCAAUGGACUGGGCACGAUCGACAUCAUCACCGAGCAUGCUGCCCCAACCCCCAAAGGUCUGGAAUGCUGAUCAUAAGCGCACGUCACCAGCUUCCGUGCAUAUGGAAUCGUCAUGCCUUGCUGCCCUUGUUCUCUGUGUGAUGCAGAUGCUUUCCUUGCUUUGGCUGCAAGUUGCUUUCAUCGUAGCUUGCAACUCGACUACAUCAAAUUUCAAACCCGGGUUUACUUGCAAUGCAUGUUUAUCUUAUCUCUUUAUUGCAACAAAAUGAUUUGUUCUAGUUAAGUAUUUUAUAAAAGGAUUUGUUCCAGCUUAUUGAUGUGCAACUUGGCGUGACGAGUGCCCGAGUUAAGUAAAAGUCGUGGUUUCUGAAGCUUGAUCUGUCAACGUAAGGGCAGCAGAUUGAAGCUGGCUUUGUGGUGCAUCUUUGACAGGGUAUGAUAUAUCAGAUCGAUCAUAGAGCGCUUCUGUGUUAAGAUGAGUUGAUUAAUCGGUAGCACGAUGAUGGUGCAUUAGGUUGGAGAAGGACCAUGCGCCUAAACCUGGAAUGAUGUAGUGCAAGAUGGCGACAUGGGCAGCUGAACAAAUCUUGGCACUAGAUUAAUCAGUAGUUAAUGUCUGACGAUUGAAAUAUGAUUAAUCGUAUGGUGACUAGGUGAGAUGAACUCGCUAGGGAAUAGGGGGAUAGAUGACUAGCAAGGCAAGUAGGGUGAUCUGUCAGGUUUUGAAUUCCGAAAUGAAAGCAAAUAUGGCGACCCUCGAAAUAGUCAAAAUUUCCAAAAUAUCAAUUUAGACAGAUCAAUGAAAUUUUCGUUUGAAUUUGAAUAAAUUUGAAUUCAAACAACUAGAUAAGAAGAUCUAGCCGCACAAUGUAGAUAACAUUUUUUUUUCUUUUCCUGAUGGUUAGUCCAUUUUCAGCAACUAACCAGCCCAGGUUCUAACCUCGGUUAGGUCAUAAUUUUGCCAAAAAUAUAUUUGGUGCAAAAUAAUAAUAAAUGUAAGUACACAUGAAUCAAACUGUAGACGUAGUGAGUAGGAGAACAAUAAUGACCUACCAAAAGGUAUAUUACUAUUGAACGAUCAAAGUCCUUUUCUAGCAUAGAACUACCAAAACUUUUUGAGCGAAAGAUAAAAGGUUCACUCACCCUCAAAAUUAAUACAAUUUGAGAAAAAUCAAUGAAAUUUUAAACCACUUGGAAGAUUGUUUUGGCCGGUUUGGUUGUUCAACAUUGAUUAAUAAUUAGGGUUGAAUGUUGAACAUGACUAUUACGAGAGCCCUAAGCUUGGGUAAAGUGGAUGCUUGAUAUGUUGUAGUUAUUGGUCACACUAAGGUUUUGCCACUCAACAUUCCAUAACAUUCUAUACUGUUCUAGGUUCCAUGAUUUUCCUUUUGCCGAUGCUAGCUCCAUGAUUUUCAAAUGGGAUUAGACAAUGGAACUAGUUUAUGCCACUGUUUGCCUGCAAAAAAUAAAAAUCGUCAUUUGCCACGUGAAAUAAUACUGUGCAAAGUGUCAGGUAACCAACCCUGGAAGAAAGAAAGCAUGAAAGGAACAUGGUGAGUACGCAGGUCAAGGGUGGUAAAUAAACCCGAAGAAAGUACAAUAAUUGGGUUAAAUACUAGUGGUGGAAAAGAUGACAUGUUAGAAAUGGACUUCCAAAUGGAAGUAAAAAUCAAAACAGGAACAACAUAACAUGAAAAAUCCUUCACUACUACAGGAAAUCAUUCAUUGCUUGGAGAAAAUAAGGAACUUCUAAUUACAAUUUCAAACUUUCAACUAAAUUCAUCUCAGAGACUUACAACUAAACAUAUAGUGCAUUGCGUCUCAAUGUAGAAAAUAUUUAAAGUAAAAUCUACUAAUCAAAACAUAAUUCUACAUCUCCCGUCUCUGUCUACACAUCCUAGAGAUUAGGAAGUGUUUGGCAGGGACAGUCAAGAGGCAACAUUGGCGACCGUUAGAAAAUGGGCAGCGGGGUGCACUAAGGGUGGCAGAGCACACGACGGGGCGAGUGCAACAGGGCCAGGGGCGAAGCCAGGAAUAGGACACAUAAUAAAUGGAUAUAUUCAAGCAAGUUUCAGUAUUUUUAUGUCAAAUACACGCAUACCUCUAUAAUUGGAGGAUAAGUGAGUGCAAAUGCUAUACCGUACGCUAUACCCAUACAGAAGUAAUUAGAUGGAAUAUUGUUUGAUUCUCCCGCUCGGUGCCAUUCUUGCAGCUUUGCUUGUUCCAAUGCCUCCCAUGCCGAGCUGAGAUCUACGCCACGAGCUCUCAAAAAGUGUUAAGCUCGAUCUGCUCAUCAUGGCAGUGAAUCCACCGUAAAGUUCAUAUAAUAUGCUUAUUCGUGUUUAGACCUCUAUUUUGUAUCAUACGGAUAGUGCCGCCUGAAACCGCAUCACCAAAUUUGAAUUCACAACAUAAUAGUAGUAGAUAGCGCUUCUAGUGUGGAAAUUGAAUAGCUUGUAUAAAUAAAGAAGGCAAGAAGAAGAACAUAGUGUGUAGGUAGAUAAAUGACUGGUAGUUGAAAAACUGAAGAAAAUACAAUAAUUCUGUUAAUUUGUUCGUCGUAGUAGGUAAGAUGACAUAUUACAAAUCGACAAGCAAUAAGAAGUAAAAUUCAAAGCAGGAACACCUAGUAUUAACAUGGAAAUCCUUGUGGGAAAAGCCACCGGCAUACGAUGGUGACAUUCACUAGAUCAUGCAAGGUGUUUACAAUGCAGGUGAUUUAUAAUGAGACAUCAAUUAAUUCAUCCCAACCCUACACAACUUGGUGCAAACAAAUGAAUCAGCCUCAUGUCUCCAUAGAAUAGUUCACACUAUUAUGAUUCUACGCCAUAGAGAUGGCUACUAUAGUUGGAUGUUUUGUGAUCAUAUCUGCAAGGUUUCAUCGCGGAAGCAUGUCGGUGGGUAGGUGCAUGUCUUUCAAAAUUAUUCAAAUAUAUAUCUUGUUCACAAUACAAAUUAGUAGAUAAAUGCAGCUGAUAACAUCUUCCUUUUGUGGAGUGAAAGGGAAAAGAUAUAUAUUUCUUUGGUUUGUUGCCGCUAUGCAACAAAACAAAUUAAUAGCUUGUGGAGCCUGAAUCCCUGAACCUGUUACCAAAUCCAUGAAAGAUAAACCACAACAUAUUGUGAAACCUCAAGUCAAAAUAAAUACAGAAUGAUGGUGAAGUUUCACAUCAUUGCAUUUCCUGGAUUUUUCUUUGUCUCUCCUCUCCCUGAGUUCUCAUCUCCUGGUGAAGGUGCAAUUACCAUGCGAGGAGGAUGCAUAUAAUAAUACGGCAUAUCAAGUGAAAAUUUGUCAACCUCCUUUCGUUGAAUCUGAUAAAUUGAUGCCAUGUAGAUGCACAAGGUAUUGGUCUCUGAUGUUGAACUUUCAGCAAAGAAACGAAAAAGAGUAGUCCUCGCAGGAAUAACAUUAUUUGCCUUUUCAGGUGUUAGUAAACCUUUUUGACUAGUAAAGAUUUUAGAGAAAGGUGUGGUAGCUGCCCAGUGUCCCUCACUACCGGAAACAAAGAAUUUGCCACCAGUCAGCUCUUUGUCGUCUGCUAGCGGACGACAAAGAAGGCCUUUGCCAUCUGCUUAUAAAAAACGAACGGCAAAGACAUGGCUGACGGCAAAGAGCCUAGUUGCCAUCAGCCUUUUUUGCCGUCCGCUAGUAGACGCCAAAGAGAUGGGUGGGGUCCAGUGGAGGCCUAAACCCUAAUGGCCCAUCAGCCCCACCCCAUUACCGUCUGCCAGCAGACGGCAAACCAAACGCUACCUAACGGCCCGCCCCCACCCCACCUCCCACUCUCUCUGCCCUCUCACUCCACCGCGCCCCCGACCCCAAUCGCCACCGCCGCCGCCCCCGACCCCCACCGCCCUCGCCACUGCGCCGUGCCGCCCCACCACCCGCCUAUGCAAGCAUUAACUUGAAGAAGAUGAAAAAAAGAAGUAGAAAAAGUAGAAAAAGAAAGAAAAGAAGGAAAAGAAGGUCGAGGGGUCGAGGGUCGAGGAUCUCCGAGGGAUCGAGGGUCGAGGGUCGUCGAGGGGUCGAGGAUCGUCGAGGGGUCGGGGUCGAGGAUCACCGAGGGGUCGAAGUUUUUUUCAUAGUUUGAAGUGUCGAUACUUUAUGUGAUGUGAUGUCGUAAAUUUUCUUGACUUGAUCGCUAAAAUUUACAGGCUUUGUGCUAUUUCAUCUCCUUGGAGCCAUCGUGGUCGAAGUUUUUGGUCUGUGAUCUCGCCAUUGUUCGACUACUUCCUCUAUAGCCAAGGGUGAGCUACGAAUCCACCUUCACCUCCUACGCUCUUUUAAUCAUGUCAGUAGAUUUCAUUUUCAUGCUAAGUCGCGUAACCAGUAUGUGUCUCCCGUCCGAAAGGGUUGCAUCGAUAAAUAUGCAUUCAGUUGCAUAUUUAUCACAUAACUCAUUCGGAUUGUCCAGCGAUUUCCACGGACAGCCCGAGGAUGUGUAGAUUGGGUACGUUCUCCAUGCUCUACCCCAUUCCAAGACAAAAUUUCGUCAGCGCCUCCCUGUUGUUCUCCGGAUGCACAUUCUCUCGGCUUUUUGCGAGACGUGUAUCAUGAGAACAGCGGGGAGGUGCUACCGAAAUUUUGUCUCAGAAUGGGGUAAAGCAUGGAGAACGUACUCAAUCCACACAUACUCGGGUGGGAUUAGGACAUAUCUUUACCUAUUAGAGUGUAGGUUGCAUGGACGUACUAAAAUUGACAAACUAGAUUAACUGAUGGAUAUACAUGCUGAAUUAUAUACAUUUCUUGUCUGUCCAGUAGCUAGGCAAGAUGAGUGAUCGUGCGUGGAUGUACACCGGUCACACUAGUUAGAAAGAGAUGACCAAUAAAUGAUUAGCAAAAAUCAAAGGAGUUCUCCGUCUGUGGCGGACGGCAAAGGCUUGGGGGGGCAUGACGCGUGCCUGACAUCAGAUAGCACACAGCAAAGGGGAGGGCAUGUUUGCUGUCCCCUAGCAGACGGCAAAGCCUCCCGUUAGCCACCUAACAUGGCUAACGCAUGUUAUUUGCCGUCCAUAUUCUUUGCCGUCUGCCACUAACGACAAAGGGUUGUUGCCGUCCGCUUUGAGGACACAGACGGCAAAGAACCUAUUUAUCGUAGCUUUCUUUCCCGUCAGCGACAGACAGCAAAGAAGUUUGCCGUCUGCUUUUGGUUCCUUUGCCGUCUGCCAUGGCAGACAAAUAAGCUGAUACAUGUAGUGCCUAUACCCUUAUGAACAAUAAAUUAAAAAAAGGAAACUAAUUAAAAAAAGAGAGAUUUUGUGACAUCAAAUUUAUCAAACAUUUUAGGUGCUUGAAAAUGACAUGAUUAUGUCCAUAUGCCCUCAUUCAGAAUAUGGUAUCAUAUCGGCGUAAUGACAUUGCGUAUGAAAAUAAUAGCCAUGUUAUUGCCACCAUGUAGGUAGUAAAACAUAAGAGGUGUUUUUCAAUAAUAGUUUUUUAUUAAAGCAUUAAGGUAAGACAAAAUAAGUAAACUCGAUCUAAUAAAGCAUCGCAACACAGAGUCAACAUACCCACAUAACUAAAAGAGAAAAAUAAAAGACAAUGAGAGCAAUGCUUACAAUCAGCAUCAAUAAGGCAUCUAGCCCUAGCGCCUCCACAUUUCAUGGCGACACUACAAAUUUCAUAGCCUACAAGAAGAAAUGCCGACUACGACUAUCUUGCGAAGAAGGCCACUAAAACUUAGAAGACCCUAAUACACUGUCUCCGCCUAAAAUAAGGUGGGAUAUGAUACAGAUUCUUCAAAACUUAGCUCGUCACACAUAACUUUUUAGCAUGGAUAUCAUAAGAGGGUACACAAAAACAAAUCGAAGUUCAAAUCAUAUUGGGUCCUCGUCUCCUUACAACAUGUAUAUAUACACAUGUGUAAUUUUAACUAGUAUAUUAAUUUUAACCUUCAACGGGAUUAACUCUUUGCACCUAACAUUGCACGUGGUAUGUGGUCUCAAAUUCUCCAUGCCAUCAAAUGUAUCACCUUUAUCGCAAAUACUUCCGAAGCUAAACUACAUCAUAUUUAUGCAACCUCUCUUACUUUCCCUAUUGUUCCCGACAUCUUUUUCAAAUGAUGACAAUCGUUGAUUGAUUAAUUCAUCUUCCUUUUGUCUUUGUCACUCACUAUCUCAUCAACCAACCACUGGAUAGGAAUGGGAGGUAUCAAGAGAAAGGUAGCGAUGAUGUAUCAAGAGAGAGAUAGCAACUCGGAAACAGCUUGUGGUAGAUCAGGGAUACACUAAGGUUUAGAUCAUGUUGGUACGUAGUUAAAGUGGCAUAUGGGUUGCGCAACGCGAUUUUUAUACGAUUGCAUAGCCCAGAUUUUUUCAUAAAAAUGAUGUAACUUGGAAGUUUUGCACUUGUGAAAAAAUACAUUAUCCAAAAUGCUACAUACCAAUAAUUGAAAAUUGGGACAAACAAAACCAUGUGAGCAUUGUUUUCUUAGGGCUUGCUACUCGUCGGCUGGCUGAUCUUUGGAAAAGAUCGGCCGGCUGAUCUUUGGAAAAGAUUGGCCGGGUGACCAGUCCGAUCUCACGAUCCUAUCCUCUUUCACUUGUUGCAAUUAUAACAAGACCUCAUGUUGCAACUUCAGCUCGUGUCUUAUUGUCAUUGUGGCAAGCUAGACCCUUGUAGCGGCCCACGUCCACCCACUUUGCAACGGCAACUCCAGCAACAGGGAACGACCCUCACUGUCACCGGACGCCCCAACAUUGCAGCGCCGGUGCCCCAACAUUGCAGCGCCGGUGCCCCACGUCUUUGGCUGGAGGUCGCCGCGUCUACAGCAGCCGCGCCUGUGCGAGAGGGCAUCAGGGGUCAUGCAGCCAACACAAGCACAAGAUCAGCAAGAACACACAUAUGUUUGAAUAAAAUGGGGCAACGACCAGCACACGGGACUCCACGUAUCUUAGAAAAUUUGAGGAUCAAAGGGAUUCUACAGGCCAGAAAGUUGGCAAGUACAAAAAACAAAAUCUGUUUGAACACACGCAUUUCAGAGGAUAGAGCAUAGAGGUCACCAACCAGAAAACAUGUGCCAAAAGCAGAUCAAAUGCAUCAGAAAUAUCACAAGAAACCACAUAACACAACAGGAAACAUCAGGCAAGACAAACAAUAUUAUGGAUUGAAUUCAGGGCUCACUUAAUAUUAAGUUCAUCAAAGCUGCUGCACACCAGCAGAAGUUUGCAGAUACAAACGAUAACACUGCAUCAUAGUACGGUAUAGAAACAAAGACAGUUCAGGCAACGACAGACAUAGACCAGACUCCUUAAGGACACCGAAGACGAGACUUGUGAACCCAGAGACAAAAGCAGCUCCAUGGCCAGGAGCUUACUGGCCACCACGGAGACGGAGCACCAAGUGAAGGGUUGACUCCUUCUGAAUGUUGUAGUCCGCCAAG
rnacentral:lncRNA from 1 species